rnacentral:snRNA from 1 species
UACUGUGCUGCCGGUAUUAGAAUUAGAUUAGAACGAUACAGAGAAGAUGAGCAUGGCCCCUGCAGGAGGAUGACAUGCAAACUCACUUAUU